rnacentral:pre_miRNA from 1 species
AGGAGGAACAACCGCAGUGGCGGGGCCAGCUCUGCAGCCCUGGAGUCAGCCCCCGCAGUAGCUCCGGAGCUCUCCUCUGAAGGGCCUGGAGGCUCCAGGGCGGG